CAGCCCUGUUCAUUGGAAAUACUAUCCACCAUUACUGUGACUUGUUGUCUGAAACAGUGACUGAAGAUGGCAUCUCCUGUCUGUAUGAAGCUUUUCAGGAAGUGCCUUUGACAUGUGACAGGACCACAGGGCACAUCCUCAAUAGACAUUACAAAUGGCUGCAGAAGCUUGGAAAUCUCGUGUCGGGUUCCGCAUUCGACUAGGGAACCGGGACCGACACAGAAGACCUCUUUGUCCUGCUAUGACAUCUAGAGGCUAACAGGAGCCAACCGAGCCCACCACUGAUCACAUCUCUUGGGAGACGGCAAAGCAGCUGCUGCAUGGGAAGGAGGAGAGAGAAGAGGCAGAGCAGGAUGUGCCGGGUGCACCAGUCACACAUAACCUCACAGUCUAGGCGGCGGAAGCCAAGCCCCUCCCCAGCCCUGCCGGACAUGCUACAACUGGAGCACCAGUGUGAAAGGGAGCAGCUCAGCUCGGUCUAGGCAGAUGCCGAAAAUGGAGGAUGCACAUUGUAGGCUCCAGUCCAGAAGCAGCUGAUGCCCCUGACUGCAGAGCCCCAAGGUGCCGAGACCCAACCCCAUCCCCGGGUGCCUGCAGACGUGCAAGGGAGCUCGGAGUCACUGGGAGAUUCCCACGCCGGGAGCCCAGAGACCCCCAGCCCAUGUCCUAGAGACAUCUCGUAGGAAGUAACCUGGGAGAACUAGCCAUCGCCAUGGUGACUGACGUCAGAUGUUCUGGCUGGAUCCCCACUGACUCAGUGCCGAACACAUUGGCCAUGGACAAGGCCCUGGGGUAGGACCCGGGGGGGGAGUAACAAGGGCCUGGGUCCCCCUACCCCGGCCACCAUCCAUCCUUGGGUGGCAGCCCACCUCCCCAAUGUGCCACUAGACUGCACAGCCCCAAGAGGAGGGGCGGCCAUCUUGUCUCUGAACUCUCAGCCAGACAGCCCUGUGCUGAAGGGCAGCGAUAUUGACUCUGCCCGCUGGGCCACACAGCACUGAGGGAGAGAGCAGCCAUAUUGUCUGGAGCCAUCGGGCCACACAGGCGUGAGAGACAGGAUAGCGGCACGGACACUGGUCUCUGGGCCACACAGCCCUGCCGGAGAGGGAGGGCGGCCGCACGGACUCUGGUCGUUGGGCCACACAGCCCCGACAGAGAGGGAGGGCGGCCGCACGGACUCUGGUCUCUGGCCCCACAGCCCC